rnacentral:piRNA from 1 species
UGAGGGAGAAAAUUGACUUCUAAUCCAUGC